rnacentral:SRP_RNA from 1 species
CCCAGGCCCCGGAGGGCACGAGCCUUCUAACUCCGUCAGGGCCCCGAAGGCAGCAGCGGCAUGAGGUGUCUUGCGUCGCUUCGUCAGGUCUGGGACA